AGAGUUUGAUCCUGGCUCAGGAUGAACGCUAGCGGCAGGCUUAACACAUGCAAGUCGAGGGGCAUCACAGAUAGCAAUAUUGGGUGGCGACCGGCGCACGGGUGAGUAACGCGUAUGCAAUCUGCCUAUAACUGGGGCAUAACUCGUCGAAAGGCGGACUAAUUUCCCAUAAGACCACGACCCGGCAUCGGGAUGAGGUAAAAGCUAAGGCGGUUAUAGAUGAGCAUGCGUUCCAUUAGCUAGUUGGUGAGGUCACGGCUCACCAAGGCGACGAUGGAUAGGGGUUCUGAGAGGAAGAUCCCCCACACUGGGACUGAGACACGGCCCAGACUCCUACGGGAGGCAGCAGUGAGGAAUAUUGGUCAAUGGGCACAAGCCUGAACCAGCCAUGCCGCGUGAAGGAAGACGGCCUUAUGGGUUGUAAACUUCUUUUAUGAGGGAGCAAUAAGGGGUACGUGUACCCUGAUGAGAGUACCUUAUGAAUAAGCAUCGGCUAACUCCGUGCCAGCAGCCGCGGUAAUACGGAGGAUGCAAGCGUUAUCCGGAUUUAUUGGGUUUAAAGGGUGCGUAGGCGGAUUAAUAAGUCAGUGGUGAAAGUUUAUCGCUUAACGGUAAAAUUGCCAUUGAUACUGCUAGUCUUGAGUGUAUUUGAGGUAGGCGGAAUGUGUGGUGUAGCGGUGAAAUGCUUAGAUAUCACACAGAACACCGAUUGCGAAGGCAGCUUGCUAAGAUACAACUGACGCUGAGGCACGAAAGUGUGGGGAUCAAACAGGAUUAGAUACCCUGGUAGUCG
rnacentral:rRNA from 1 species